AAGUCGUAACAAGGUUUCCGUAGGUGAACCUGCGGAAGGAUCAUUACAGUAUUCUUUUUGCCAGCGCUUAAUUGCGCGGCGAAAAACCUUACACACUGUGUUUUUUGUUAUUACAAGAACUAUUGCUUUGGCUUGGCCUAGAGAUAGGUUGGGCCAGAGGUUUACUAAACUUCAAAUUUCGAUUUGAAUUUUUCUUAUAUUUAACCUGUCAAUUUGUUGAUUAAUUUCAAAUAAAUCUUCAAAA
rnacentral:misc_RNA from 1 species